ACUCCGCUCUACCGGGCGCCAGGAUCCCUACCUACCUCCAACAGAGCUGGGCCCUCAGCCUGGAAGCCGCAUGCAUCUCCUGCCCAGCGAACCCACUCUCAGGCAGCAAGCAGGGGCAGAAGUACAGGUGGAUGCUGCCUUCAGGUUUCCCUUUCUUCUGUGGACGACAGGACAAAGCCAGAACCUUUGACAGGAGGGACCACGGAAGUGGAGAUGCAGUCUGGCUUGGGUCACCUAAACUGCCCAGCAGGAACAGGCCAAGCCACUUUGGCCUGGAAAGGCUACAGAGGCUAUUCUAGACCAUUGAACGAUCCAGCAAACCCGGGCAAGUCUGAGAGGAUCGGUGGAAGAGUCGACUCCUGCAAUCUGCCUUGUCUUCCAUGGAUGCCUCACUAUCAACACACA